CAAAACGUAUGAAAUGGCAAGGUCAUAAAUUCUGCCUAUCGUACUUUCCUUGGUUCUUCACAGGACGUCCUCCUCCUCGUUCUCCAGGACAUGAAUAUGCUGCACCUAAGAAUUUGGCUCAAGAGUCAAGAGAGAUAAACAGUUACCGUCACAUAAGGAUUCAUCUCAAGGGGUCUCCUAUUGAUGAUCUCAGCUCUUGCUCUCCACUUAUUCCCCUUUUCAGAUUUCUUUCAUCCUCCUAUGAUACACGGGUUUUCUGGAUGGCAGACAGUAGACAAGAUUAAAGUAAAAGACAAAAUAUAUCUUGAGUAUUUUGUCAGAAGAACAGACUUAUCCCUGCUUGUUGAACAUAAUAGGACUGGAAAGAGCUUUUAUAACUGGGCUCUGGUCAACCAUGGCAGAUCAUGGUACCCUGGGAAGAUCAGCCUCACUGGGAUUCAAGUUCGUCAGCUGAAAAAGAGGGGGAGACAUUAAAUAAUCUGUAAGGUUUCUUCUAUUACAAAUUGCCAUGAUUUCUUCUUUACAACUUAUUUCUCAUUUAGGAAGAAAAUGGGUAAAACGCAAGGUAUAAAAUAUGAAUUGCAUUGUAUAGUAGGAAAUCAUGAACUUUGUCUUGGCAUGUUUUUUUCUUUUCAGCUAACAUUGUUGAAAUUCAGUUAAUAUUCAAUAAACUGUACAUAUUUAAAGUGUACA
rnacentral:lncRNA from 12 species